UACGUAGGGUGCAAGCGUUGUCCGGAAUUAUUGGGCGUAAAGAGCUCGUAGGCGGUCUGUCGCGUCGGAUGUGAAAUCCCAGGGCUCAACCCUGGGCCUGCAUUCGAUACGGGCAGACUAGAGUUCGGUAGGGGAGACUGGAAUUCCUGGUGUAGCGGUGAAAUGCGCAGAUAUCAGGAGGAACACCGGUGGCGAAGGCGGGUCUCUGGGCCGAUACUGACGCUGAGGAGCGAAAGCGUGGGGAGCGAACAGG
rnacentral:rRNA from 1 species